rnacentral:rRNA from 1 species
UACAGAGGUCCCAAGCGUUGUUCGGAUUCACUGGGCGUAAAGGGUGCGUAGGUGGCCAGGUAAGUUUGGUGUGAAAGCUCGGAGCUUAACUCCGAAAAGCCAUUGAAUACUAUCUGGCUGGAGGGUCGGAGGGGAGACUGGAAUUCUCGGUGUAGCAGUGAAAUGCGUAGAUAUCGAGAGGAACACCAGUGGCGAAGGCGAGUCUCUGGACGACUCCUGACACUGAGGCACGAAAGCUAGGGGAGCAAACAGG